rnacentral:lncRNA from 1 species
AAGCAUUUUAUCACAUAAUAUCAAAGCUAUAGUCAUGCAAAUCCCCUUCAAGAAGCAUAGGUUUAUGUGAGAUGCAUCAAAACAUUUUAUUGAAGAACAAAGUGAAGGUGUAGUUUUAUAUCUCUUGAUCUUGACUUGAGACCAAGGAUUGACCACCUCCAAGCUCUUUGUUCUUGGAACUCCUUGAGCCUAACCUCCCUCCUUGCUUCCUCCACCUUGCUAGAAUAAGUGCUCCUUGGUUCUCCUUUAGUCUCCAAGAUUGAAGACCUCUAAAGAUCCACACCCAUUAGUGUAGUGAGAUGGAUGGAUGAAUGACCAAAACGAGAAAAGAUGAUUAGCUAAAAUCUCCUCUUGAUGGCCGGCCUUGUGAGUUGAGAGAGAGAUUGUGUUUUUCUCUAUUUUGGUGAAAAUAAACUCACAAAAACCCUAAUGAAACUUUUCACUAAAAGUUCCUUUUAUAUCUCAAAGAAAGUUAGCCAACAACUUGACUCCCUCUCUCUCCCUUUCCCUUUAUUUGGCCGGCCCCUUUGUGUUGUUUGGAGUUUUGGGCUUUUAUCAUUUCAAGUCAUCCUAUGCUUGAAUAAAAGGACCCAAGGAGUUUGGGCCCAAUGGGCCCAAAUGAACCCGAACUUUUCUUUAAGCCCAAAACGAUCUUUUAUCGCUUUUAUGAUUUCUUUAGACUUUCUAAUUAAUCACAACACUUAAUUAAUCCAAUUAAUUAUUUCCAUCAUCCAUUAGUUGUCUCACUACAAGAGUGUAUCGGUGUACAAUCAUUUUAGGUUCUAAUUAGCAAGGCAGUGAGGUGAUUGGCACCAAUCCAAUUGAUUAUAUUUAAUCCAAUCACUUAGUGAAUUAAAACUUACUUUUAAUUCUCCUUCUUCUUUGACGACUACUUAUUUAAUCAUGUAGAAGAAUUCACAAGCCAUGAGUGACAUCUAACCAUAUAUCAUGACUACCCAAGCUAAUGUAGAAUUUGUUCGGAGAACCUAUUCAGUUGGAAUUACAAUGUAAUUCGAUCCUUCUCUAAAACAAUACUCUCAAUCACAUUAUUAGGGUAUGGAUAUAUUAUUUCAAACCCCUAAUGUGAUUAUUCCAUGUUAUAUGAUUCAAUUGAGUCGUAUAGGAACGCUUUCCUUUAUUACGCUCGAUACUUCGGCCGAAGAUUCCCGAAUCAUAUCUUAGAGUAUUCAUCCUCUCAUAACGAGGAUUAGAGAUCCCUUGUUGAUCAUCCACAUGCCUCUGAGAAUAAAUCACUGACCCCAACAAUGCAUAGAACACACCCAAGAUGAGGUGUGGUCACGUCUCAUUAUCAAAAUGAUCAGCAACGUAUCCCCAAGACAACUAUGAUGUCUCAGGUCAAAGGAUUACUUACAUUAUUCCAACCAUUAGAGUUACUUGCUUGACAUGUGUGUAGACCUCCAUGCAAGUACUCUUGUUCGAUUGUAUUCAGUGAACUCAUUCCCUUAAUGAGCACCUACAUACAUGUCUUAGUGUCACUACACGAAUGGGAUGAGACUUUCCAUCCUUCCAAUUAAAGGGGACAUAGUAUGUACUGGUCUAUGCAUUGUCAGUAUCCCUCUGACAAUCCUAUGACCAGGAACCUUUUUGGACAUGAUGGUUAUGUGAAGAAGGUCUCUGUAGUCUAACAUCAUUAGAUUACUUCUUCCAUCGAUCCAUUGUCCAUGGAUUCACUAUUUAGGACAUAUAUCGUUUAUUGAGAUAGUCUUAAUUAGUAUCUUUGCCUUUUGAUGUAUAAGAGUCAUCUAUACACACAUUCAUUAUCCUGAAAGGUUUCUUCCAAAGAUUGACUUUCAGGGCAUAUCUCCAACAAUCUCCCACUUGCACUAAAGUCAAUCACUAGUGUAUCUUAUAGAUGCUAGUCGAGUGAACUUAUGCUCAUAGGUAAACUUGGUUAUGUAUUAAUCCUUUUAAUUUAAAAGGGAUUUACUUAUCAAAUGUUUCUAAAAUAUUUGACGAUGUCUCUUUCUUGUGUUCAAAUACUUUGAUGAGACCUUGAUUCCAUGGCUUGAGCUAUCGCCCCAUUACGUCGUAGUGUCCUACUAACAACCUUAUGGUUUGGAUUCAAUCAUUGGUUCUAUAAGAACCCCUUCUAUUCAAAACACCUUUUGAAGCAGUUUCUAAAACUAUAUAUAUCGACAUAUAUUUCAUUUGUAUACUUUAUAUAUACUUUGCUCCAACCUUGAGACCAUUGUAGUACAAUACUAACAAUACAUUCAUAUGAUUAGUACUUCAUCCAUUAUGAAGUUCCAUUUGUUAAAAUGGGUUAUUUUCACUUUGGUUUAUAACCUAAGUGAAUGCACGCUUCCAGAGUCCGACUCUGAUGUUCCUUUCUUAAAGGCAAUAAUACUCUAUCAAUUGUUACGGUUCUGAUCCUAGGCUAUAGUAAUAUCUUAAAGUGACAACCCCAAUGGUUUUUCACCUUUGUAUAUCAUCUCACAAGUCCAUACAUGUGUCCCUUUUGUGAUUUUGUGACACAUUCAUUAUAAGGGUCACGAAAGUGAUUUUCUAUCAUAUAGGAAAAUACUUUCUCAAAUCUUCAACAUUUGAGAUUUAAUUUCCCCAUAUAACAUCCUUGAGAUAGCCUUUCUAUAUCAUUAAGUCCAAUUUCAAGUCUAUACUUCAAAAUUGACCGUGUCACGUUUUGUCAUUUUUAAGUAACAUUUAUGUUUUAUCAAGUCUAUCAAAUAGACUUUAUUCAUAUCUUGUUGCUCAAAUUAUGACAUCACUCCCACUGGCCUUGUUGUAACUUAGCAUUUAUUCAAAAACUUAACACUUAUAUUUUCUCGAUUUGAAUGCAUAUUGCUCCCACUAACUUGUCUUGGAUCUAUUGACAAUCAUUGAGAUCCAUUAGCUUAUUGAUGAUGUCUCAACAAUUUUGGGACUAUCAACAACUCUAGCUAACACAAGUUAUUUAAACGAACAUACACAAAAGAAUUCCUUCUCAAGUAAUUCCAUUUGAAAUGUGUGACUUGCCUUAUCAAGUCCAUUCAUUUAAAUUAUAUGGUGUCAUACACCAUACUUCAAGUUUUAGUCAUACUAAGACCUUUAAUGUAGUCAUAUAAGAAUUAUCCAAGUCAUUAGUGGAAGCAUGGCUCUUACUAAGGAUAUAGAAACUCAACCAUACCUUCUAGGUGAUUGAUAUAAUUCUUUAUCAAAACUACAUAGAGCGUUAUAGUUACAUGAGGUGCUGAAUUUGGAUUGUCUUGUUGUUAAACCAUAUGUUGUGACUCAUUUUGAAACUAUUCCCUUUUGUUUCAUUAAUUUGUCCAUAUGCUUUGUUAUUAGCUUGUUCUCAUAAAAGAGAAUGAUGGACAACUCCCAACAUAUAACCAUUUUAUGCUAGGUUGACGAAACCAACAUUCAUAGACUAUUCUUUAGAAUGUUACACAACAUAGAAUUUCAACGUUUUGAAGAGCUUGAGUCCUUUAACAAUUAAAAUUACAAACUCAUAAUAAUAGUGAUGUACUAUUUUCUUUAGACAACUACAAACCAAUCAUAUUCAAGUUUAUAUCCUUUUUCUCACCUCCCACUAUUUCUCAUGACUUUAAUGAGAAACUACAUUAUACAUUCAAAAUGUAUAAACGUGGAGUAUACGAGUAGAGGACAAUGUGGAGUAGCUUUAAAACCUUUCAAGCUUAUUUGUUUCAAUCUCCACUAAGUUGAUGUCUUGUUAUUAAGUGACUAAAGUCUUUAAACAUUUCAUAGAUUUAGACACUUCGUUCUUGGUUUAAUCACUAACACACUUGACAUUUUAAAACAAUUUUAAGAAUGCCCAAUUAGUUGUUCAAAACUACUAAUUGAAUCAAGAGUGAUCUUGGUUAUUGUGGUUAAGUAAGUGAUAACCAUAUAAGAAACGUUUUCUUAUUACUUAUAUCGUUAUAAUGUGAUCUUCCUUUUCUUCAAGAAAGGAAUCUCUAGACCUUUUUCAAUUCAUAUAGAACUCACAUGUAGGCAAUUGGAACCAAAUCUAAAGAUUCAUUGUAUCCAUCUAUGGCCAACACGUGAGAUCUAUCCAUAAUUGAUAAGUCCAAAGUUUGGAUAUCGCAUUACAUAAGUGAUAUAAAUCUUGUAUCUCAACUAGGAUACAACAAGACAAUAUUCAAUUCAUAACACUACUUUGAGGAAAUAAUAUAGUAGAAGGCAUUCAUCACAUUACAUUGAUAUGAUAAUUCAAACAUUCAUAAUGUUCAAUACAAAAGGAAUUAGCUCUAUACAUUUAGAGACUAAUUAUAUACCUUCAUAUAGGCACCAAUAGUGGUCUUCCAUCAUAUGAAGCCACAUAAUAAGUUCUUAACAAAAUAAGAAAGUUUAAAGACUAUCUUUAAGUGCCUAACAAACUUCCUAAGUAGUUAGCAAAAAAUGGUGGCCGAACCCUUCUCCAUCCUUUUCCUUGCUUGUUCAUCUUCUACUUGGCUCAUCCACCUUAUACAAUUGCAUAAGUGAUUAGCUCUUUAUAUCAAAUAUAAAUAUUUAGAAGAUCUAACAAUUAGAAUUGAAGAUCUAACAAUUAGAAUUGAAGAUAAGAACAUAAACCAUACCUUGUGGUUUGUCCUUAAGAGUUGCAAGGUAUAACCUGCAAUUCCUCUUCCAAUGCCCGUCCUUUCCACAGUGGUGGCAAGUCCCCUUGGGCUAUUUUGCCUUCUUUUUCCUCACUCCUCCUUGCGGCUUAGGAGUGGGUGACUUCUUCUCCUUCCCUUUGUCUUUGCCUUGCGGCUUAGCCUUGGAAGUGGAUGGCUUGUUGUAGGCUACUGCAGCAGUCCCCACAACGUUCUCUUUCUUCAUAGUCUUCUCGGCAGUUACUAACAUGUUUAGUAACUCAGAGAGAGUAUUAUCCAUCUUGUUCAUAUUGUAGUUCAUAACGAACUGCGAGAACGAGUCAGAAAAAAAAAGCCAAGAUGAACUCCUGGGCCAAUUCCCCGUCAAAUGGAGUGUCUAGGCUCUCCAAUUGUUCGAUGAGUCGAAUCAUCUUCAGUACAUGUUGAUGCACUGGAGCUCCCUUGACUAUCUUGGUCUUCACAAGUUCACUAACAGUGCUAAAGCGAUGGUUGCGCAUCCUUUCACCAUAUAACUCCGUAAGAUGGAGUAUGAUGGAAGAUGCACUAUCCAUACCCUUGUGCUGUCUCUGCAACUCCUCAUUCAUGGAAGCCAACAAAUAGCAUUUGGCUUGUGUAUCAUCCUCAACGUGCUUGUCAUACUUAGCACGUUCAUCCUCAGUGGCCUCAGGGCCAAGAGGUAUGUGAGGUGGAGCCUUAUCUAGUACGUAAACAAUCUUCUCCAAGGUUAGGAGAAUCUUGACAUUACGAUACCAUGAUGGGAAAUUGUGCCCCUCUAGGCAAUGUUUGUCGAGUAUUUUCGCGAGUGUGCUUCCAACCAUAGCUAAAUACAUAACAAUAAAAUAAAUUAGUUUGAUUGUUGAUAAACGAUUCGGGUCUUUAAACCGAAUGACACCACCCACUAGUUUUGGCAAAUUCCAUAUCCCUCAAGAUGUAAUCCGGGAGAUUUCAAUGAAAGCUCCUAGCGGGUUAUUGGAGGCUCACUAUUACCAAGCCCACCUCACGAUGAUACGAUGUUGGCUAGCAAAAAUAAUAAUGAGAGGGUAUGACUACCCAUUCACAACAACCUCUUGUGAUUACCCAUCUUAUUGGCCUCUAGAGAACAAUGCCUCACAAUGAUAUGAUGUUGGCACCAUUUCUCUUAGUUAAGUUCUGACCCACCAUGCCAGUUUAGAUAGGGGUCCAAGUACGACCUCACGAUGAUACAAUGUUGGCCACAUUCGUUGCCUACCUUCACCACAUCAAAUGUUUGAAAUAGACUCCUCCUGAGUAUAAGCACAUACUUUGAACUCCCCCAUGAUAGGGUGAAGACGGUGUAUGAGUCAUAAACGAUUGGAGCCUACCAUGGUGGAAGGCCACGAAGAAGUGUUCAAAGCACCUCUCUGCUUUCAACUUAAUAUUGGAUGUUGGUUGAGGGAUUUUAAGGUCUCAUCAUUUUUUAUUUAUUUAAUCAUAUUCAAAUAAAUUGUGUCCUAUUAUAACUACUAGUCCAAAGUUAAUGAAAUUAGUAGCAUAUGAUAUCCCCACUAUUCGUUUUCAUAAAACAAAUCAAUAUCAAAACAUUUUCAAAAUAUUGGAGAUAUAUAUAACUACUAAUUGUGUUCAUUAUAGUUUAGUAGCGUAUGAUACUCCCACUAUUUGUUUUGAGAAAAACAAAUCAAUAUCAAAAACGAAUUUUUCAAAUAUUGGAAGUAACUACUACUACUAUGGUUUUUGCAUUCCUUUGAAAUUGGACUUUAUAGUUAUCUUAGGCUCUUUGGAUGACCAUGGACUUAUUGGGUUAAUCAAUCAACGAGCCAACAUUGUUGAAUAAGAUCUAGGGAAGGUUGUAUCGUUUUAAUUACGUGCUUUCAAUCCAAUUAAAACAUUUUUUCAUUGAGCCAUUAGAAAUGAAAGACAAUCAUUCAUUGCUAAUUAGGGCGUUGGACCCAAUUAAUCUUUAAUCUCACGUCAAAACCCUCUUUUAAUCAUGUCUCCUUACCAAUAGUUAAAGAAACUCUAGUCUAGUACUAGAGGGAAUCAACUAAUUGAAAGAGAUUAAGAAGUAAUAAGAAUUACAAACCGAUUUGUACAAAUUACAUAUACUAAGAGGGAGAGAAAGAUUAAUGUCUAUCAUGACAAGGUCCAAUUGAAAUAGUAAUUAAAACACAUUCCCAAGGUUCAAACAAUUUGAGUUUAGUGCCCUUUCUCAUAGCUCAAUUAUCGUUUAAGGCAUAAGUCCAUAGUCAACCAUUUUCUAACUACUUAAUCACAUUAAAUAAUUAAUUGGAAUGCAACAUAAACAAUUAGAUUUAGUGCAUAUGGGCAUAAUUGUAUGCUGAGUUUAAACAACUAACAAAAUUAAAAUCAAAAUAUUUUAACUUUUUAGAGAGAUGGGGUCUAAAUGCAAAUAUAAAAAGUUAUGGGUCAAACCGUAAAUACUAGAAAGUAUAAUCAACCUUUUUAAAUUACAAAAUAGCCCUACAAGUGGCCAAUCCACUAGGGUGGCCGGCCAAGUUAAGGGGGGGAUGGGAGGUUUCAAACAUUUUGCUUUAAUUCAAAUUAAAGUAGAAAAACCCAUGCUUUUAUUGCCACUUGACAUGCUUUAUGUACUUUAGUGUAAAGGUGAUGGAAAUUCUCCUAGUCAAGUCUAGGAUUGCUUAAAUUUUGGGAAAGUUAUGGACGGUAAGUUUAUCAUCCAAAAACAUAAAACAAUUUGUGAACACAAAACAAAACCAUUUACACCAAAAAUAAAACCAUGAACACCAAGAACAAAACCAUGAAAACAAUUUCAAGAUUUGUACUUUCUUGGUGAUUUUUCAAACCCAAAAACAAAAGUGACAAGGUCUAGAUUUUCUAGCUUAAAAAAAAUGUGUGAGUGACUUACAAUAAAACACAAACACAAGCCAAAAAAUCCCCCCAAAACUGUGCAAACCCUAUGGAACAAAAAACCCCAAAUUUUGUUCAAAACUCAAUCUUCAUUCUUGUAUCCAAAACACUUUUUGCAUACAUAUCUUUUUCAACUCUUGAUACACAUUUUUCAACAUUUGAAAAACAAAAGAUAAACAUAUUUUGAAUGAAGAAAUAAUAUGUCAAACAUAAAAUUAAAAAACCAUAUGCAUAAAAUUCAAAAGGACACAUCAAAUAUAAACCUUUGGCUCUUGAUACCACUUGAAGGGAAAUAAUGAGAUUUAUAUGGGAUUUCUAGUGACUAACAUGCAUAUACAAUUCAAAAUCUAUAUACACUAGCAACGGAAGCAUUUUAUCACAUAAUAUCAAACCUAUAGUCAUGCAAAUCCCCUUCAAGAAGCAUAAGUUUAUGUGAGAUGCAUCAAAACAUUUUAUUGAAGAACAAAGUGAAGGUGUAGUUUUAUACCUCUUGAUCUUGACUUGAGACCAAGGAUUGACCACCUCCAAGCUCUUUGUUCUUGGAACUCCUUGAGCCUAGCCUCCCUCCUUGCUUCCUCUACCUUGCUAGAAUGAGUGCUCCUUGGUUCUCCUUUAGUCUCCAAGAUUGAAGACCUCUAAAGAUCCACACCCACUAGUGUAGUGAGAUGGAUGG